rnacentral:lncRNA from 1 species
CUGGGUGCCUUCCUAGAACAAUCAAAUUGGAAACUCUGGGGCUAGGUCUGGAGUGCCAAUCUAGGUCUUUUAAAGCUCCCAGGUGAUUCUAAUGUGCAAUUGUGUUGAUAGAAAUGCCUUCAUUUUGUUACAGAAGAGUUUAUCAGUGGGAGAGCCACUGGCAUUCGGGGGAAUUCUUCCUUGUGCAAGGAAGCACUACAGCCUGUCACUAACACUUUCCAGUAAUGGUGGUAGCCAAAAAUACAUUAAACAUCUCCACAUGUCCUUGCUGAGAAUCUCAUCAACUCUUCUUCCUUUUGUGCGCUUCCUAAGAGUCAAAGCAUACAUACCCCCACGACUCUUCAGGUUUUUGGUUGCUUUUUUGAGACAGGGUCUUGCUCUGUCACCCAAGCUAGACAGUGGUAAGCUCUCAGCUCACUGAAGCUUCAACCUUCUGGGUUCAAGCAAUCCUCCACCUCAGCCUCCCAAGUAGCUGGGACCACAGGUGCAUGCCCCUAUGCCUGGCUUAUGUUUCAAUUUUUUGCAGAGACAAGAUCUUCCUAUGUUACCCAGGCUGGUCUUGUACUGAACUCAAGCGAUCCUCCCACCUCAACCUCCCAAAGUACUGGGAGUACAGGCAGGAGGCACCAGGCCCAGCUGGCUCUUCAGUUCUUUUUUUCUUUUUUCUUUUUUUUUUUUUUUGAGAUGGAGUCUUGCCCUUGUCACCCCAGGCUGGAGUGCAAUGGCGUGAUCUUAGCUCAUUGCAAUCUCUGCCUCCUGAGUUCAAGCGAUUCUCCUGCCUUAGCUUCUGGAGCAGCUGAGACUACAGGUGCGCACCACCAUGCCCAGCUAAUUUUUGUGUUUUUAAUAGAGAUUUUCACCAUGUUGGCCAGACUGGUCUUGAACUGGCUGGUCUCAAACUCCUGACCUCAUGAUCUACCCACCUUAGCCUCCCGAAGUGCUGGGAUUACAGGUGUGAGCUACCGCACCCGGCCUGGAAUGAAUCUUUUAUGCCCUGCUCUGGCAAAAGGUCUUGUGUGAAAUGAGAAGACAUAACUGGGUGUUUGGCUUCUGUCUCCUGUCUCUUCAUAUUCCAGGGCUCUUUCCUUUGCUCCAGGCAGGUGAUCACGUCUGGCUUAGAUAUAGCAAAACCCAGGGAGGCCAGGUUUCUGUAGUUGUCUAACAUCACAUCCCUAUACAAAUUCUGCUGUGCAGGGUCCAGGCAUCCCCACUCCUCUGGAGAGAAUACAGCCACAUCCCUGAAUGUCAACAGACUCACUUGCCAGCUUCUAGGGUGUCCUGGUGUUCUCCCUGUGGAUCUCUGAGUACCUGCAGAUCACAGGUCUGCCGAUCACAGCCCAUUCUUGUGUUAGUUUUUGGGAAAUAUAUGCACACCUUUCUGUUGGCUUCAUAACUAGGAG